UUAAGAAUAUUUGAAAGAUCUAUUGCAAGAACUAUGAGGUAAGAUUCAAACGACAAAUGCAUUUUUGUUUCUAGAUGUGUUUGACAAGAAGGUGAAUACCAUAAUGAACAUUCUACGUGAAGAUUAGUUAGCUUUAUCGACUGGCAAUAAUGUUUAUAUUUUAGCGACGUUGUAAUUGUAAGAAAAGAGAAACUGAUGCAUCUUGGGAAAAAAUAUAUCAAAGGAUGAAAUGAAAAAUGAUUUUAAAGCGUAGUGGGCUAAACGGCUCUCGAGAAGUGUCGUCUCCUCCUCUGCUAAGUUAUAUCCUACCAUUUACCCCCCCCCCUCUCUCUCUCUUUGUUUUUGUAUCCUUUUAUUGAGGGACGUUCCGGGCAUGUCCCCUUUCCCAUUACUACGUAAAUGCCUGUCACCGUCAACCUCCUUGUGGCGAAGCUUUAAAGAUGGAGACGACAGUAUCAAGGAGGCUGUUUGUUUGAGGGGCUGGUAUUUAACUAACCAGGCGAGCUUUCUCGCACCAAUGACGCUAAAAAUAUGAAGUACCCAUCCCUCGAACCCUGUCCCCAUCCCUCGAUGGCUCUUGUCUUUUCUUCGACCGUGAUUCAAGAACCAAGACAAGGGAAGAAGGAUGAAUGUCUGUUUAAUGGAAGGGAAAGACCGGAUGAUUGCCACUCCAUACCGCCCUCUUGUAUCAGCAGUUGAAAUACGACCACCAAAACGCAUGAAACAGAAGCUGAGAUUCCAAAUAUCGUUAACAUGGAACGAUAAAAGCCUCCUUCUUUUCGUAACGGAGACUUCCUCGGUGAAAAUAGCCAUCCAUUCGCGCUUCGAUUGACAAACGAUAGAAUAAUUGCUUGGUAGACGAUACGCCGCGAUAUCUCGAGUCGCCAUUGCCGAUUUCAAGAGAAGGAAUAAGAUGCGAUUCCUCGCAUAAUCUUGAUAAACAUCGUCGAUGCCAAGUUAAGGAUUCUUGCCUAAUGGAUUGUCAAUAUAAUUGAGAUAAGGGUAAAGAAGAAAAUAAAGGGGGGUCUCGAUGAAAGGAGCGCGGGUACAGCCACCAAGAUAGGACCUGUCAACGGACACUCGAACGAGGAUGGACAAAUGUUGACCCGGUGUGCGCCCCCUUUUGCACUUCCGGUGCUAUGUGUACCUUCCUCUCGAAGCAAUCGGCAAGUGUAUGAUUGACAUCUUCAUGAUCUUCGUGUAUGCCUGGUCUUCGUGUGUAACUGGAUGGAAUAACCCGACUAUUCGUGGCGUCGCGUAAGGAGUUUUCUUGCCAAUUUCGCAGAUAAAAAAGGUGAAAGGAUAGUGUUGCUUUAUUGAAUAUAUU